rnacentral:rRNA from 1 species
GACGGAGGAUGCAAGUGUUAUCCGGAAUCACUGGGCGUAAAGCGUCUGUAGGUGGUUUAAUAAGUCAACUGUUAAAUCUUGAGGCUCAACCUCAAAAUCGCAGUCGAAACUAUUAGGCUAGAGUAUAGUAGGGGUAAAGGGAAUUUCCAGUGGAGCGGUGAAAUGCGUAGAGAUUGAAAAGAACACCGAUGGCGAAGGCACUUUACUGGGCUAUUACUAACACUCAGAGACGAAAGCUAGGGUAGCAAAUGGG